GGCGGCGGGAGGACGUGCUUCGUGCUGCCCGGUUUUCUCACCUUGCUUCUCACUCCCUGCCUGCCCCUCCUCACUGCUGAUGCCGCCCUCUCUCUACUUGUCAUCUAUGGGUCUUAUCUGCAUUCUUUGUGUCACUGCCUAUGAAGAAGCUCUGUCCUCCAGCGAGCCAUGUCCAAACACUAGAUGGCUACCUAACAUUGAAUACGGAUGAGAUUGAAGCUCUUUGGGGCAACUAGAAUAAAUGACUGUAUGUGGAUGACCCAAAGAGUAGACGACCCCCUCCUUCUCCUACUGAUGUCGAUAUGAUGGAUGCCGACCCACCAAUCGACGAAGACCCAGCCUCUCUUGUCAAGGUUUUAGUAAGUGACAAUGUUUUAAAGGUGGGAAGGUUGUUGGUAUCUAACAGUAGGAGACUAAACUGUGGCAUGUGUUCUCUCUUAUCUACUGAAUAUAUUAUGAGUGGCACCUACUUUUGUUUUUUUCUCUUAUUUACAGAAUGUCUACUAUGGCACCUAUACUUGCAUGUUCUCUUAUCUAUGUAAUAUCUGAUGUGUGGCACCCAUCUUCAUUUUCUCUUAUUUACUGAAAGUCUACUAUGGCACCUAGGCUUGCAUGUUCUCCGUCUAUGUAUUAUCUGAUGUGUGGCACCCAUCUUCAUUUUCUCUUAUUUACUGACCAUCUACUGUGUGGCUAGGGUUUCAUGUUCUUCUAAACUGACUGAUGAAAUAGGUUUAAAGGCUCAAUGACUUAUUCCACCCUGUAUCUCACCUGGCUUCAAUCUCUCCUCAUUUUUUUGCCAUUUUCCGAUUUCCAUGCUGAGAAUUGUUAGACUUGUUUACUGCAUCAUCCCUUCUUCCUUUAGUUCCGUUACGCAAGACUAUACCAAAAAUUUUAUUCCUUCAUCCGUGUCAGUGGUAAAGUUUUGUCUUUCAUUUUGGUAUUCUUAGUUUGAUUCAAAGUUUUCAUUUCUCUUAAGUGAAAAGUUUCUGCUGCAGCCUAGUUUGUGUCUUCCAGGACCUGUCUCUUAGCAGUCAUGAUAAGAUUAAAAAUAGGAGACAGUCACCGCGAUGAGAAUGACUGAAGCCGAGGUGUUAAGCCAAGCUCGGUUUUUAUCAUUACCAGUAAAUACAUUAACUUUCAUUUUUUCACACUUCUCUUAUCACUUACCAGGCAAGGUUGAUAUUCUUUACUUUCCUCUAGUUGUUUAGUCUAACAGGAAUUGUAGUGUUAACUAAUUCCUUCUAAUUGUUUGUCUUUUUGUUUAAGUACUCUGUGUUAACCAUUGACACUGGUAUAAUCUGUCCAUUUUGUGAAGGCAUUUGGGUGUGGCUCCUUCGGGCCUCGGACUGCUAGCAUGGUGGGGGUACUACUUGGUCUGACCUCGGGUCACUCCACUUGUAAGCUGCAAAAGCAACAUUACCAAGUCUUUAGGGAUUUAUACAAAGUCACUGUUUUAAUUUUAUGGGAUUUAUACAAAGUCCAAAGUUUUUAUCCUAAAAUAAUUAUAAUUUAUAAAAGAUUGCACCCAAAAUGCCUUUAUAAAAUGGAUGGACCAAUCCAGAUUUGUUAGACAGGGUAUACAAAAGAGUAUUAACAAACUUAUUUAUUUAGAAACAGUUUAACAAAUGUCAGUGUCAGUCUGGAUCAGAUCAUUUCAGUCAAGUCCAUAUUAAUUUCAUUUCUCUACAAAAUACUUUCGGAAAACAAUUAAUAUCUACAAAAAAUGUUAAAUAAAAGGACAAUGGAGGUUGUGGCCCUGGACCACCGUACUGUACAAGUAUGGUACAAAACUUGUGUUACAAUCCACAGCCUGAUCAUUAUGAAAGACACGUUGACUUCAGCUUGCCCUUGGGGCUGUGCUGCAGUCUUGUGGGCUGCCUGCCCCGCACCACCGCCAACAAAGGUGCUUCCCAGCAGCAGCAGGUCGCUUGAGUUUCAGCUUCAGCUAAAGCCUCUGCUGAACACCACCUGAGGUUUUGUUAGGCUCAGGGAUGACUAGAGUCAGCGUGGGUCAUCCUUUUUGUCCGGUGGCCGUGGGUGAGCUGGCGAGGCGCCACGCAUUGAGGGAAUGAGAGGUGGAGGCAGGCCGGGC